rnacentral:lncRNA from 1 species
UUUUCUCAUUUCUAGUUCUCAAGAACAGCUGUAGAAUGUUCUGGGAAUGCAACAUUCUGAGAUAAGGAGGGCUGGCUGGAACAGCCUGAGCUCUGUUCUGGGACCCCGCUUUACUGAAAUAAGAUAACCUUCAAUGUUUUAGCCCAGCAAAUCUCAUUGCCCCACAGCAUAAAACCAAGGUUGAGAGGCUUUCUGGGGUCCCUCAGCUGAUACAAGUGGGGUAUGCAUGGAGGACACUCCAUCUAUCCUGGGCAAAUUUCUUGAGCCUUGCAGACUGGCUUACAAUGUGUCACGGGCUUCUGUUGUCUUGCUGCCUAUCUGUAAGUAGUAAAAAGUCUCUUCAUGCAGCUUGUUGUAUGCACAGGUGUUUUCUCUCACUGGACUCAGACAAGUUGGUGACCCGCACACAAUAAACCUGCUCCACAACAAGAGGAGAAGGAAUUCCAGAGCUCAAAAUGGAGAAAGGAACAGAGUAAGAACAAUGGCUUCAGGAGGAAAAUGCAAUGAUAGAAGCUUUGAAAGAAAGACAACUAGAAUUCAGGUCAUAGUAGAUGAUGAUACCUGCCUGUCUGACCUUUGAGGAAGGGGAAUUUCUGAAACCUAAGGCUUCCUUGUAUUGCUCAAUUCAGUGAGAAAGAAAUCACUAAUGAUAGCAGGGUUUUGCUCUGUCGCCCCCGCUGGAGCGCAGUGGCACAAACAGAGUACAUUGCUGUCUAUCUUCUGGACUCAAGUGAUCUUCCCUCCUCAGCCUUCUGAGUAGCUGGGACUACAGAUGCAGAUAGAAAUAUUAGUUUUAUGAGAAACUAUUUCUUAAAGGAUGAAACAUUCCACAAAAUAUAUUUUAUCACAGACUAUGGGUGGAUUCCACUGGGAGAAAAGAGGAUCUAAAUGCCAGGCUCACCCCUCACAUUCUAUUCAACUGCACAGGAUAGAAUGAUACAUCCCUCUCUCACAAGAGCUCCCUGGAAACUGCAGAGGAAUCACCAUCUUCAGCAAGCUUUAUCAAGAAUGCAUUCAUGAGAUUCCCACUUUAAACAUCCAGCCAAGCACUUUUAUGUCUGUCACAGAGGCUUUAAAGGAGAGGCUGGAGAGUUCUCAUUUUCAGCACCAUCUCAGCUGUCGGUAUUUCCCAAACCUGCACUGAUGUCUGAGAAUCCACAUCAAAACUUUUGCAUUUGUCCUCAAAGAAUGUCACAACUAUUAUUCUGAAAUGCUCAUUGCAUCUAUUUCUAGGGAUGGUAAUGAUGACUCUGUACGGACUAAGAUAGGAUUAAUAACAAUGCAGAGUUGAACUCAA